UGGGGGAUAUUGCACAAUGGGCGAAAGCCUGAUGCAGCGACGCCGCGUGGGGGAUGAAGGCCUUCGGGUUGUAAACUUCUUUUGCUCUGAACAAGGCGCACCAUGGGGUGUGUUGAGUGUAGGGGUUGAUUAGCGCCGGCUAACUACGUGCCAGCAGCCGCGGUAAUACGUAGGGCGCGAGCGUUGUCCGGAAUUAUUGGGCGUAAAGGGCUUGUAGGUGGCUGGUUGCGUCUGUCGUGAAAGCUCAUGGCUUAACUGUGGGUUUGCGGUGGGUACGGGCGGGCUUGAGUGCAGUAGGGGAGGCUGGAAUUCCUGGUGUAGCGGUGGAAUGCGCAGAUAUCAGGAGGAAUACCGGUGGCGAAGGCGGGUCUCUGGGCUGUUACUGACACUGAGGAGCGAAAGCAUGGGGAGCGAACAGG
rnacentral:rRNA from 1 species